rnacentral:rRNA from 1 species
UGGGGGAUAUUGCACAAUGGGCGAAAGCCUGAUGCAGCGACGCCGCGUGGGGGAUGAAGGCUUUCGGGUUGUAAACCUCUUUCGCUAACGAACAAGGCCCGCUUAGGGUGGGUUGAGGGUAGGUGGAGAAGAAGCGCCGGCUAACUACGUGCCAGCAGCCGCGGUAAUACGCAGGGCGCGAGCGUUGUCCGGAAUUAUUGGGCGUAAAGGGCUUGUAGGCGGCUUGUUGCGCCUGCUGUGAAAACGCGGGGCUUAACUUCGCGCGUGCAGUGGGUACGGGCAGGCUUGAGUGUGGUAGGGGUGACUGGAAUUCCAGGUGUAGCGGUGGAAUGCGCAGAUAUCUGGAGGAACACCGAUGGCGAAGGCAGGUCACUGGGCCAUUACUGACGCUGAGGAGCGAAAGCAUGGGUAGCGAACAGG